UUGUUUGUGGAAACACCACGUAAAUUUAAUACUGCAAAUUAUUACUGCAAAUUAUUAUACAAAUAUUUUUGCAGUAUUAAAUUUACGUGGUGUUUCCACAAACAAAA